AUCAUCCGUUGGCUCUCGCUUCCUCUCUCUCCCUGUGAGCAGCAUUUCCUCCACCAGUGAUUUAUAUUUGGUUCCGCAGGAAAAGAAACUGCCAGGGGAGGAUUCAGCCUCUGACACUGCACCCACCAGAGGCCGGCAGCUGAGCUCAUGCCUUGCAGGAGCAGCUGUGUGGAUGCCCCCAAAAAACCCAGACAACCUCCUCACUCUCACUCCCAGCCCGGAUCUCAAGAACUUUGGUGUUGUGCGUCUGCUGAUUGUCCUGAUGGACAUGAAGGUAACCCUGAAUGCCACCCAUCAGUACAUCCCUCUGCCCCAGCCUGUUCCUGAUUGUAGCAUGGGUGAUUGACCACGCACGGCUGCCACAACCCAGUGCCUAUACCAAACUCUUUGCCUCCAGCCUCAGUGGCUGAAUGCAGAGCUGAGGAACUCAGGUGAUGCUUGUUGGGUGAUGAGGGCUUGGAGGUGAUGUGAAGCCCUAACAGGGCUUUCUAGGAGCACGCUUUUCUUCAUUUGAGGCUGUCUACUCCCUGAAGCACCAUCUUCCUUUGAUUCCCCCCCGGUUGUGGGAUGCGCUCCACUGGUUUGGCUGUGUAGUACACUACUUGAUUAUUUUUAUUCACAAGACAGCAAGACCUAUGGCCAACAGUCUGUGAUAUCCCAUUCUUUCAGAGAGCACACGAGGACCACAGGAUCAUUUUAUCUCUCUCCCUCCACUUUGAAUUUUCUCUAUGGAAAAUCAGAUGCCAGCUCCAGUGCCUCCGAAGUGCAGUGCUGUGAUCUCUCAUCCCAGGAGCCUGGUGCCGGCAGGCAGUGGUAUUUACAUGGAGAAUUCCUACCUCAUGUUUAAGGAAGAAAAAUCCACAGAAGUUUAAAUUCACCCUGGGGCAAAGACUCUGCUCUUGGACUCGCCAGACGUCUGGCUCCCGUCCAGGCAGCCUGACUUGCAGGUCGGGCUUUCAGGGGAGAAAGCAACCCCUGGGAAAGAGCAGAUGUCAAGUGAAGAGACUAUAAAUACCCUAACCAAGGUGAGUGAAGCUGUCUGCCAUGGAGCUGAGAACUGAACCUCGGUCUCAAAUCCAAGUCCUGACCUGUAGACGCAUAAAACCUGUCCUUCCUUCUACCUCUGCUAAUUGGUUUACCCUGACCACCUGGUGAACAUCAGAAACCCUCCCAGGUCAGCUGUUCAAUAAAGGGAGAGACUUCAUGGGGGUGGGGUGGGAAAUGGCUCAUUUGGGAUGUAGCAGGUUUCAUUUCAUCAGCUGUCAGGCAGAGCUGCUGCUUUUGUUAAAAAGAGGGGUGAAGAAAGGAAGUAAGUGAGAUGAAAUCCAUGUUGUUUUUGGACGAAAACUGAGGUGACCCUCCACUGAUCUUCACUGCGCAGUCCUGGAGCUCCCCGCUUGCUUGCCCCGACCCAGGCUGAUGUCCAGGAAGUCGCUGUGAAGUGCAAAGAACAGUGUAUAACAACUUAAACAAACAACCAAAAAAAAAAAAUUCAACCACAAAAAAGAUCAAAAACUGUGGAAAACACUUAUUUUUCUAAUGGCGGUAAGGGAGCCAAGGAAGGGAGAAGACAGAAAGUAGACACUUAAUUGGGGAUUUGCAACCCAGUCGAUAGAAACCAUGAAGCAAUGUUAUAGCAAGCCUCUCUGGGGAAUCGCUAA